GACGAACGCUGGCGGCGUGCUUAACACAUGCAAGUCGAACGGUGAAAGCGGAGCUUGCUCCGCUGGAUCAGUGGCGAACGGGUGAGUAACACGUGGGCAACCUGCCCCUCACUUCGGGAUAACUCCGGGAAACCGGGGCUAAUACCGGAUAUGACCUCCUUGGGCAUCCUCGGAGGUGGAAAGUUUUUCGGUGAGGGAUGGGCCCGCGGCCUAUCAGCUUGUUGGUGAGGUAGUGGCUCACCAAGGCGACGACGGGUAGCCGGCCUGAGAGGGCGACCGGCCACACUGGGACUGAGACACGGCCCAGACUCCUACGGGAGGCAGCAGUGGGGAAUAUUGCGCAAUGGGCGAAAGCCUGACGCAGCAAUGCCGCGGGCGGGAUGACGGCCUUCGGGUUGUAAACCGCUUUCAGCAGGGAAGAAGCCGCAAGGUGACGGUACCUGCAGAAGAAGCACCGGCUAACUACGUGCCAGCCGCCGCAGUAA
rnacentral:rRNA from 1 species